rnacentral:rRNA from 1 species
AUGGCAGCAGUGGCUAGCUCCAAGGGGCGGGUGAUCGCUGGGAGCCUCGUGGCGCGCGUCCUCGCCGGCAAGGCCAACGCCUCCCCGAGGAGGGCGGUGCACGCGUCGGCCUACGACAAGAACGUGGACGAGCAGGUGCGCCCGGCCUUCGUGCCGGACGAUGUGAUCGGCGGCGCCGGGAGCCCAGACAAGUACUGGGGCCCUCACCCAACCACCGGCGUCUUCGGCCCCGCCGCGGUCGACCCCAAGCUGGCCGCCAGCCUCGCGCCGGCCAGCGCCGCCAAGGGCGGCCCCUCCGUGCUGGACCAGAAGGUGUGGUUCCGCCCGCUCGAGGACGUCGAGAAGCCCCCCGUCGCCUGA